UAAAAGUUACAUUAAAUAUAAAUAUAUAUUAUAUUAGAUGUAAACAGUGAGUACUAUUUAGGCGAGAAAGGAAUUCAUGUUUAAUAAAUUUAGGACGUUUAGAUCCAAGCGAUUGCGCAAUAAAAUGAUAACAUCGUACGAGGGACGAGGGGAAGUUUAUCGAAAAAUUCCUGAAGAAUUCCACGAAAUAAAUUUCUCGAGUAUUGGAGGCCAAACAAUUCCCCCUCCCUCUGGAACUGAAUUCCACACGUGAGAAAUUAGCUGAGGUAUAUCAGUUAUGUGUUGUAGCAUGUGUCGUGCUUUCAUAAUACUCACAGCCGGGGCAGUAAUGUGAAACUAUACAAGUGCAACGGAACGAAAGCUCGUUAAGGCGGAGAACUUCAUUUACCGGCGUUAUAAUUAAACCAACUAAUGCUUGUUAUCUUGACAGUGAAGCACCGUUGCACGUGAGACUUAAUCCGCGUUCAUUUAUACAUGUUGUGCAUGCGCGCGCGCGCGCGACUAUCCCUAUUUCCGCUUUAUUGCGAAUCUGUAUUGCGAUGUAAUGCUCCUCAACGUUGACAACCGGGUGGGGCAUGUAAAUUGCACACGCCUUGCGUGUCGACUUUUUCGGAAGAUCGCAGAUACGCCCCGGCGUGAAACGUUAAACGGCGAAACGGGAGAUGGGAUUACGCUCGCAACUCCCGACCUCUGGCCCUUAAUUGAAAGAGGUAAGAUUAGAAAUGUUGUAAAUGUCUCGCCGAUCCCCUGAGUUUUAAUCCACGCUGGAAUUCCUCUCUGACAUGUCGCCAUUAAUAUUCAACGACAAUUCUUCCGCGGAGAUUUUUCUUUUCUUUUUUUUUUUUAACAUCGUAUUAACGAGGCGAAACCAACUAUGUCAUGUGAGAUUGCAUUAUUGUAACUCGACGUAAACAAAUCAUGUCGAUUAAUCUUGAGGGUGAGAGAAAUGGCGGAUGUGAUUUAUUAAUCCACGAAUCCGGAGGUACGCCGAGUUCGCACUUAAUUGCGAGUUAACGGACUACAAAUGGCUGCGGAAAGCAGCGUAAUGCUUUUAAUAGUCCGAGAUAUCGUCUAACGCGAUUAACCGACCCUUUAUGUUGAAGGUCCUAGGGUCUCGAGGCAAAUUGUAUUACAUCAUAUAACUUGGCCGCGUCUUACUGAAGUGAGUUCUUUAACAAGCCUGUCUGGGCAAAAAAUUGAAAGUAGUCUACUUUCAAAUUUCCUUUUUUUUUCCUUAAUCAGCGAACUCUUUUACAAUUUUAAAGUCGCUGAAGAACCUCUUCUAGAGAAAUUCUGCAAAAAUUUUAAAUAGAAUUUCGCGGAAAGCAACACUGCGCUCGAAUAAUUACAAAAUAUCGUACACAAAUAAAUGAGAUUUCGCUUCUUUUAAUAUAUCUCCGUACUUUAUAAAUUAUAAUUUUAAAAAAUACCUCAAUACGGAUUAAUUAAUGUACCAUAUUUAGACUGUAAAAUUACGAAUAAUAAAUAACACAAAUUAAAUUUUUUUUUUUCGAAAUAUGUUUACCUUCUUUUUCUAUGUACGUUGAUCAAAGGUACGUCGUGGUUUUGCAGAGUUUGCUUUGAACAGAAUUUAAUUUUUUUCUCGUAUUAUUAAAAAUAUAUAUAAGAAAAUAAGCAAUUUAAAUCUAUGAAAAAUAUAUAGAGGAAAAGGUGGUAAUAUGGCCAGUGCGGAUAAUAUGGCCACCCACAUUAUCUCCGUUAUUAGGUGACGAAUUUUAAUAAUUAUUUAUGAUAUCAUUUGUUUAGUAGCCUACUGUUAUAUAAUGAUGCUAAUAUGACAAAACACAACAGUUAACAUUUGUUAUAAGGUAUUUUUACUUUUCAAAAUUUCGAAAAUUUUUUGAGAUACAUUUUAACAUUUAAUUACACAUACUUCCUUUUUUUUUAAACUUAACCGCAUUAUCACCCAAAUGUAUGUACACUUGAGUACUUUCUUAUUAUUUAACUCUUUAUUUGGCGGUAUAUAUUUCGAGUUAUACAAAAUUAAAUGAUGAUAUAGGAUGUCAAUAUGGCCAUCUAAGUGUGCUAGUAAUGUGGUCACUUUCGAGAUCGACAAAAUUCCUCGAUAAAUCGAUUAAAGGCUUAAUUUAAGGCUGUUAAUUUUUUUAAAUCCUUUAUAUGAAAUAAGGUUCUUUUUAUAUAACUUUUAUUAAAUGUGAAUAAAAAUCAUCUGUUUCGAUAUAGCAACUUAUUUUAUAUACAUAUAUAUGUUUCUAACAAAAUACUGUGACCUUUUUAAACAAAACCAAUUCUUUUACAUUUAUCUUUGUGGUGGCCAUAUUACCCCCUCCCCCUAUUUCUCUUCGGCCCAUUAUGCAGCAUCGUUACAUUUUUAUAAAUAAUAUAUAACAUAAUAAAUACUUUAUAACUUUGAAUUGAAAAUUUAAUGAGCAACACACUUUGAUGAAUAUAAUCAUAAAAUUUCAACUCAAAACAUUGAAUUAUUAACAAAGGUAAUAAAUAAAAUAUAAAUGGGUGGCCAUAUUACCACCGUCUCCUCUAUCAAUGUCAGUAUUUGAAGGAACAUUUCAAAAUUGUCCUUGUAUUUUUAGACACUGAAGAUUCGCGCAAUGAAAGAGAUGUCAAAGAUACACCCUUCCCUAAAAUAAAUAUAUUUACAAGACUAAUAGACCGUUAUAUACGGGGAGAGACCGUACGCUGAAGAAGAAUGCCCAUUUCGAUUUCUUUCUGUCUGAGAUAAUUCACAUCUGUCAUCCCUAAAAACAUUUCCCAUCCUGAGUGCACUUUAGCGAAGGGGGCAAAUAUUUCGGCGCCAUCAUCGGAGCGUACGAAAUAAAAUGUCGUUUAUUCGAGCCGUUCUUGCGUGCAAAUCGAGCCGCUCACGCGAGCAGAAGGGAAAUAAGGGGAAGAGUUGGCUUCACCCUUGGCGAAAGGAAGAGAGAUUAAAUGUGACGUCGGUGGCGGGUUUCGACGCUUCACCUCGUACCAUUUAUAAAAAUUAUUAUAAAAUUCACUUUCGCUCCUUUUAAAAAUAACCACUUACUCACGCGCGUGCGGCGCGUGUUGAAGAUCAGACGCAAUCAAAUGCGACGUCCUCGUGGCGGCAUUCGAGGGGAAAUAAGCGGCGGUAGGCGACGCUCUUCCUUCGGCAAUGCCAACGCCGACGCCCAUGUCGUCGGGAUUGAUCCGAUCACCCCGCGUAAGCCGGGGUAACGUAACAAGCAUAACGGCCAGAGCAAUCUCGGAAUUCAUACGCCCGAAGCGUUGCCAACGCGCAGCGGUGUCCAAAGGAAAGAAAAAUGAAUUUGCACGCACACACGCGGACCCGCUGGCAAUUUUCUAUUUUAUUUUCAAAAAAAAAAAAAAAAAAGCUUAUUCAAAUCCGACCACCGGAGAGUGACGCAAUCGAAUAGGUAGUUUGUUUGUUCGCCAACAAGAUCUUCAUAUUUCCCAUCAAAGAAAAAAGCUUGUUCGGUCUGAUUUACUAGAGAAGAAUUAAGGAUUCUUCUUUAGUUUUAUUUUUUUAUUUAUACAUUGUAUUUCAACGUCUUCACUGCAGUUCUUCUUUAACACUUUUUGUAGAAAUAGUCUAGUUCCUUCCCUUCGGAAUAUACACGGGGAGAAUUUUCUCUUAAAAUUUACCCUCAAAAUCUGGAAUAGUGAAAUAAUGUAAGUUACCUCGAGGAUUUUAUUGUACUUUUUAGUAAAAUUUACUAUACUUUUAGUAAAUUUUACUAAAAGCAUAGUGAAUUUUAUUAUACCUUUAGUAAAUUUUACUAAAAAGUGUAGUAAAAUUCCUCGAGGUCAUACAUUAUCUUAUAAUUAUUAAAUUUUAAGAAUAAAUUUUAAGAGAAAAUUCUUUUUGUGUAUAUACAUAAUUUAGAGAAAGGUCGCAAAUACCUGCAUAAGCUUCCUAAAGCGGCAUCUCCUUAGAUUUCUCAAAAACUGAACAUUAAGAAAUAUUAUACGUUUUUUUUUUGUUUUUUCCAUAAGUACGUUAAUAAACGCUUAAUUAAACAUGUGGAAUUUUAAUUUUGCAAUUUUUUAAAAAUAUUUAUGAAAAAGAGGAAAAAAUAUAACUAGGCCAUAUUGAAUAUAUAUAAUCAAUAUGACUCGAGUUCUUAAAAUCUUUACUCUACUUAUAUAAAUAAUUGAAAAUAUUUCUUAUUCUUUCUGGCUGCAGAAAUGCUUCCUAUUUCAAAUCUUAUUCUUAUUUUUCAAUUUUAUAUUCAUCAAAAAAUUAGAAAAAUCCCCGAAGCGUAAGAGAACCAUAUUGGGUACAGGUACUUUACUAUUCGAAAAAGAAGUGAUAUGUCAGUUUGGUAAACCUUUUUUCUCACUGCUUUGUCUCUCUCUCUCUCUCUAUUGUAAAUCUAAUUUUGCGAGCGAAUGGUAAUAGCUCGGAGUACCAAAUUGGAACUGCGGCUGAUACCUUGAGGCCACAUUCCUGAAUGGUAACAUUGCUCAGAAUCGAUGAACGCACGGACACGUGUCGCGCAACAACAGCGUACUGGCUCGCCGUGUCGUUUCCCUUUAACGGCGUUUCCCCCUCCCCCUGAUUGAUGCUGAUGAAGAAAACGACACAUUCUCAUGCGACAUGUGGCAUUGCGUGCUCCGGUUGAAUCAGCCGGAGAGGAUUCUCUCGGAAUCCCAGAGAUCGUGGCUAUCACCUACUCUCGGAACUGUGCCACCUUUUUGCGGCCACCUCUGCGAACCACCUUUCCGAUGAAAACCGGAACGACGCUGUUCCGUGAAUUCUCUUUUUGACAGAGGAUCAUCGUAAGUGCCACAUCGUUUCACGCCCGGAUUCAAUAACUUCUUUCUCUCCAGCUUCCAAAGGGAUAAAGAAAAGGCUCUCUCUGCAACACCUCGCCUGUUUCUCUUAAACUACCCGAGGAAAGAGGAGUCCCGUGGGACUCCGCAACGUGAUUUCUUUCAAUAAUAAUCUCUCGUUGUUUAUGUAUUUAUAUCUUCAUAUCUUUCUACUUUUUUUGUUAACCGUUUAUGUAAACUUGCCGCCGCGCGAGUUCGUUUUUUUAUGAUAACAUUUCUCGUUCACAGUUCCUUAGCCUUAGUCACUUGUCAGUCAGCACCUCUUUCGUCACAGUAUUCAUACCUUCAUAUCUUCUUUUUUUUCCCGCCAACUACGUAAGCUUGCCUCGGCUCGUGAUUUGUCGUCGAACUCUUCUUCCAAACGGAAUUGUUUUGCUUCACUUUUUCACGUCGAAGUAUGAAAGAGAGGGGCCUACGAGGAUAACAUCCAACUGUGCUCUUUUUUUAAUUUACAAAAAACGUAGCUACGAUCUUCUUCUCUUUGCGAAACUAUGUCACGCUCGCUCUCACGAACCAUUCGGCGAGGGCCAGGACGACGCUAUUCCUCGAUUUCUCUUUUUGACAGGGGAUUAUGGUAAAUGCCAUAGUUUCGCCGCGGGGUGAGAGAAAAAGGUGAGGAUUCAAUAACUUCCGUCUUUCAGUCUUCCCAGAGGGAUAAGAGCUCUCCCGCCCAGCGUCUCACUACUUCUUUGCGAAGCGCUGAAAGAAGUUUCGACACUCAUCCCGAGCUGAUCUUAUUUAUGUUAGAUUUUCAUUCGGACAGGAUCCGUAUAGAGCUGCGGUUUCUUGCAACCCCGCAGUCCCGCCGCGUUAAUUCCGGUCUUGGUUCUUGCAAGCCACCUUCCAAUACUUCUUCCCUCGCAAUUUUCAUUCCUCCCUCGAUAACUAUUCCCGUCGGCGUGCGGCUCGUCUUCAAUAGGCUUCCCCACUCAAACGGAAUUGUCCUGCCCCUCCCCCCUCCCUCCCUUUUUUACGAUGAGAUACCAGGGAGAAAGGUUCCACAAAUAGCGAUCAGGCGCUCUUUAAUCUCCAAUAGACUUUUCCCUCGCUCUAUAGAAUUUUUAUCGCUCGAUAUUUGACUUUAAACAUACCCCACAUUUUUGCUCCGACUAAGCGCGUUGAAAGCCGAACGGAAUUUUUUUUUUAUUUAAACUUAAAAAUAAUCAGGAAGAAAAAACUCGUCGUUUACUGCUUAAGGACAGUCAGGUUCGAAACUGUUUUGGGUCUUGCUACAUACACCGAGAGAAAAGUGCCUGGUAUUUGCAACUAUAAUUGCAUAGUAAAAUAAUUAUAGUUGCAAAUAUCAUUUUUAGAGUUAUUAUUGCUAUAAUGUUAGUGUAAAUAACCAUACAUGUAUAGUUGUGCCAAACAGGGCAAAAAUUUUACUAUCAACUGAAAAGUUUACUAUAAAUUAUAACGAUUUCUACCAUAUAUAAAUCACAAUUAUGGCACGUUUAACCAUACAUAUGGUUGUAUGAACGAAUGCUAUAGCUCUUGUAACAAUAAUAUAGUGUUAACUAUAAUUUAUAUUGUUAAUUUAACUAUAAAAACAUUGUUAGGGCCAAAAAUAACUAUAAAUUAUGGUAAAUGCAACUAUUUUUUUUCUCUCAGUGUAAAUUUAUAUGAUAUAACCCUUUUUUAAAUCAGCUUUCUUUAUUAUCCAUAAACUUAACAACGUUACUGCGAAUCGUAUUUCUAUAAAAGAGAUUUCUCAUCGAUUUAAAUGUAUCCGACGUGUACUCGGGUACCUUCGAAGCUCCACAGAAAUUCGUGCUCCACGCGGGCCUAUACGUAUCGCUAAAGCGCAGCGAUGACUUUCGUUGGCAUCACGUGUAUGCAUAAUGUAUCGCAUAAUGUACGAGAGAUGGAGAUCAUUAAAGCUGAUUUGCAUGAAUUUAAAUAACAUCACCAGGUUAAAUAACCGACAGCUAUUCCUGGCGGCCGUAGGAACUGACACUUCCGAUGUAAGUUUAAUUAAUUGGCGACCCCCCUCUCUUUCUCUAAUGAACAGGCCGGAUUAAAUUAACUCUCGAGUUUCAAAAAUGACACAAAGCGCCGAAGCCGCGCGACGAUAACGCGGGGUGAUAACGCGCGCGGCGCGGCGCCUUAUCGAGGGCGGAUAAGCAGUCUCCACAUAGUUGCGGCAACGGAUGAGCGCCGGCAGGAGAAGGUCUAACUAUAAAUAGCGUUAGAAUAUCCAUUUAAGCCCGUACGCACGUUAAAUCGAUCGACCUCUACCCGCUACAAUGAGGCCUUACGUUACUGCCUGAUAAACACCGAUCUCUUUCCUCCUCCGAGGAGAGGAAAUUCGACUUAUUUAUAGCUUCUUCAAUCGCGCCCCGGUAGAUGAACGCGCCGCACGGAAUUUAAGGGGCUGCGUGGUGGUCGGGCUCGGGUGGUGUGCCAUCCCCAACUGAUAAGAUUACCGCUGCGCUCGAUGCACAAAGUGCAUACCGCGCGUAAUAUUUAUGCCGCUCCUACUACCAGAAACAAAUGUACUUAACAAAACGAUACGGAAACUAACGUAGAUAAAAGAAUCGUGUUUUGAAACAUCAAAUUCUCUUUCUCGAUUUUUUUUUUAUUUUUAGGAAAAGGGACGUAAAUUGAUUCCUUACUUUACGGAGAUAAAAGUAAAAGAAAAAAUUUUAACAAAAGUAUACAGAAUUUUUAAGUAAAAGAUAGCACAAACUGAUGUAAGUUGAAAAAAAUUAUUUGGUCAAAGUUAGCAGUGCAGUAACAGACUUUUAAUGUCUUUUUUUUUUUACAUGAAUAAAUUGCUUAUUUCGAAAUUUAUUAAAACAAAAUUUCUCGGAUAGGAAAUGUUUCUGAAAAUAUUUGUGUUUUAAACAUCUUUAUUUACCAGAGAUUUAUUAUUAUUAUUAUUAUUAUGUGACUCGUAUAUCAGUAUUGAUUACACCAUCCCGUCAAACACGAUGACAUAUUAAUGAUGUCAAGAGUACGUAAUUGUUUGACAUCGAGUGACCCACAACAUACGUCUCUCUUUUAUGUAAUUUUAAUAUAAUUUUAUAUUCCUUUUUCCUCCCAACUACUUUUUUGCUUAUAAUUUUUAUAAUGUGUAUUUGGAAUGCGACAAAAUCACACAAUAAAAUUCAUUUCACUUUCAACAUAUCCAUUGGGCCGAAAGUAAUGUCUCUUAAACAAGCUUAAAUGAACGUCGUAGACGCUUGACAUUUCGAUGUUACCUUUACGGUGACGUUAAUGUUCGUCGAUGACGCGACUAACGACGAAAACCACGCGAUAAAUCGACGUCAUCGCCGAGAGAGCCUUUUCAUUCCUCUGUAUUUACUUAAACUCCAUACAUUUGUGUACUUUCGAGCAACAUUGAGACACACGUACCUCGGUUGUAAUACCUUUAUUUCGGUUGGGGAAAUCGAUCGGUCUAUUUUCCACACGCCGGAGUUCUCGGAUACACAGGUAAUACGGGCGAGUUUCGGAAGGAGAUUUCGGGGCAGCAGCCGCGCGCGUCUCAUCUCCUAUUCGCCUUAUUUCUCACCCUCGAAUGCCAUCCGAAUCUCGCUGGUAUCGAACGGUUUGAUAUCCGGUUAUAUUUCUCUGCAAAAUUCCUGGUAGUAAGAGGAUUUGCAGGAAAUUGUAUGUCGCUGAGUGCCUGAGCAUUCGUGACUAUUUUGCGAAGCGAAAAAUUUCCUCUUUGUAAAAAAAAAGAAAAGAGGGAAAAGAGCAGCGAGAACAAAGUAAAUAACUGUGUUUACGCAAGAUAUGUGAUGUCGCAAUAAAUACGGGGCUUAUUUAAAGAAAAGACACAGCUCUUUCGAUAAAUUAUUUACAAUAAUUCCCUUCAUACGUAAGGAAAAAAAAGAACAGUUUUUGAAUUACAAAUGAAUUGAGAAUGUAACAUUAUUUACUUUAUGUAUUGCUUUUUUAUGGAUUAUUAUUUUUAUUUUUAUAAAGAGAGUCAUCGUAUCAUAACUUCUUAAACUUCACAUAAAUAAAUAAAAAUUAUUAAAAAUUAAGAUAUAAGUUAUUAAUUGUUAUUCACGAAUUUUACUUUUUCAAACAAAAUCUUAUAACGCAUAGUACAUUAUACUUUUUGUACUAAAAAAUGUUAAACACAUGUGAUUUAUUGAUUAAUAUUAUAGAUAAUAUAUGGCGUAGAAUUGAAUUGUUAUUUGUUUUUCUUUACGCCAUACAAAUUUUUAUGUACUUUUGAAAUUAAUUUCGUUGAACAAACGGCGAAAUUGGAACGGUAAAUUUGGCCCGCGAAUUGCGAAUAAUUCUAUCGUAAUUUUAUCGUAAAUUUGUCACAAAAGUAGCAAGCUGUAAAUUGCAGCCGAAGUUAGGUUCGGUCGCAUUUAGCUGCAUUGUAACCAUCUCUUGCGGCAGUACGCACACCGCAUAAUGUGUCUUCAUUAUACUAUAUCUAUCAAUAUGUACACAGAGCGUAGGGCCACGUGUAAAAUCGCAACAUAAAUCCGCGAGCGUACGUGUGUGCGUUACGUAAAACCUAAAUUUCAAGGAUAAAUAAACGUAUCUCGUGAUUUACGGGAUCGCGAGGAGAAUCCAAAGAACUCAGUUCAGACUCACAUUGUUAACACAUCGUGCUAAAUCGACGUUAUUAUUAAAGCAGAUUUCUUAUUUAUAUCUUUCAUACAAAUGUUUACGAUUUUUAUCGAAAUUCUCAAGUUAUCUGAAGUUUUAAAAAAGAUAAACGAUAAAGAUGUCAAAUCACAAAAUUAUUAUUUUUUUUUUUUUUUAAUGUACAAAGAAAAUCUAUAGUCAGAAACAAGCUAAAGAGGGCAAGUAUCUUACAAAUUGUUUUUAAGCUAUUCGGAAAUAAUCGAGAAUCUUCAGGUUUAAAAUGAAUUAUGUUUUUAAUGGAAGAUAUUAUAAUUUUUACAAAAAUUAUUAUUGUAUUUAAAAAAUUUGCUGUUUUCAAAUUGCAAAUUCUCUUCUUGGCGAUAAAAUUGUCUUCCGAGGCUGCGCAUCAGCUGCACGUUUCGAGUACUAUUAAAUUAUUCCAGGACGUUCAAUGCAAAGCGGCGCAAUGUUUAUCCGAACGUUGCGUAUUGCUUUGGCAAUCAAGUCCAUCCUCCAAAGCGGGGAAUACGCCUCCCGUAUUUGUUCGUGCUCAGCAGCCGUCGGCACAUAAUGCAUUGCAAACAUUCAUUUCCACCAUCUUCACUCAUACUCGUGCACUCGUGUUGUUUUGCACGUUCAUAACGCGCGUAGUGAUUCGACUAAUGAAUUAAUUUUUAAGAAACGCAAUGGCGCAACGUGAAAUACGAUCGGUUGCGAGAAAAUCGAGAUAUUACGGGUAUAUAGAGAAAUCGCGCGUACGAUGAUACGGUAAACAAUGACUGAUUGUGAGUCUACAUUGCACGAUCUUGUGUCAAGGAUAGAGAUUGCGCAACCAUCAACAAUGUUCAAUGGAAAUCGACGCGUAUCACCUUGAAAAGACGUCACCAAACGCCAAACUACUUAAUUCGUUAACGGAAAGCGUUCAAUUUAAUCUGCGUGACCGAUACUCGUUAUGAAGGUAAAAUAAUCAUCUUUUAACAUUAAAGAAAGAUUGUACUUUUAAAAAAUACCUUUUUACGUAGUAAACUUGCAGCUUUUGCGCUUAAAUCAGUUUGGUUCCCACGCGAGUGCUUACCGGUUUAAUCAGAUACUACAAUCCUUAAAUUUGCCAAUUAGCCACCGUCCGGAAACACAUUUUACGCUCUACGGGGAGAAAGUGUAUUCUGCGAAGUUUUUUUUUUUUAAGAUAAAAUCUGGGAUCUAAUUAUUUUGAGAAUAAUUUGCCUCGGGCUUUGUUCCGUCGCUGGACUGAGGACAGUGCAUGAAAUUCGACGUGAACCCAUAAAUGAGCCAAUAUGCCGGGAUAGGAAGCCCCGGGAAUGCACUAUAUUGCAGCUCUGCAUUCUUCACCGAUCAAACUGCACUACAUACCAGGUAAGUUUACGCGUUUUAACAAUUAAAUUAAAUUAAAGGCUUAUCGUACUUCCUUUCACCCGAAAAAAUUAUGCGAAAGAUUAGAAAAGGGAUUCAACAACCGAGAGAACAGAUGGUAUUGGCUACAUGAUAAAAAUUACUUUAUUAAUUAUGCACUCAACGCUGAUUAUUACAUCACAUUAGAAGGAGGAGAAUACUUUUCAUUGUUCUGCACACAAAAGUACGAAGAUCAUCGAAGACACAUUAAAAAGAUCUGGUUCACUAAAGGUUGCAUAACAGAUAAAAUUUCUUUAAACUAUAGCAUGAAUUCAAGAGCCGCAAGUCCAUCACGAUGGAUAGUCUGACGGACAGAUCGUUUUCAGAAUCCACACGUGCAAGAAUCAGCGAAUAAUCUAUUGCCAAAAUUAAUACCAGAUAUGUACGCGUUAGACAAUACGAUCAUUUGUAUCAGGCAAAACAAGAGUGGCAGAAAUAGUGGCGGACUUGGCAAAACAGUAGCUAAUGGAAUGACGAAGUUAAAAUCACAUUCACGCGAUGGAGGUUUUCAUACCCGUCAGAUACCCACCACGCAGUCCCGGUAAUGGAUGCCUUUCUGUUCUACGUGCAAAUUUCAGAGGAAAGAGGUAAUUUUGCCCGAGCUCGAUAUUUCCCCAAGUUGCCAAUAUUUCUGGCAAAUGGAGUCAUUUAUUGUCAUGUUAUUACAACUAAGGUCAAGACGUUAAUCCAGUGACCUAACAGUGAAAAUAUGACCUUUACGUAAUAUCAAGCAAAAGUUCAGAUCGGGGACACGUGGGAGUAGGUAAAUAACGGCGGAUGGAAAGAGGGGAAGAAAAAUUCACUUUAAUAAAUUGUCGAAAUAAUGCCCCUUUAACUUCGAUAUAUUUUUUUUUGUGUGGACGGUGAGUAAAUAACUCUUACGUCUCCGUACUAUUUUCCGAUUAAUGCUGGCGCAUGCAGUUUCUGGUGUACACUGUUCGCUCACAUAUUUUCCAGCGUCGGGAUCGGAUAAAUUUCAUCGCGAACCGCUACCGACGAUAUCUUUAUCGCUUUAACUCUCUCGCGCGGGGCAGGCGAAACAAGGUAAAGACAUAGGAAAAACGUGUCUAAUAAGGUCGUAAAGGUAAAAUCGCACGUUUCGUGCGAACGCGAAUUACCCAGUGACCCCGAUGCAGCGGACUUUUCGCAGGUAAUAUCAGUCAGGCACCGGUGUUUCCCGUUAACUUUUAUAGUACGAAGCCAUUUUCAGUUUACAUGAAGGGGCUGUUACGUAAGGGCACUGCUCUAAAUUAAAAGUGGAUCAAAAUUAUUUCUUAGGCAGUUAUUAAAAAUGGUGGUGAGAGACGGAAUAUUGUCCGUCCAGAAGAAGAUCACCAAUACUGACAUAAAGGAACAAUAUUAGUGACCUUCCUUUAAUAUAUUGUCAAAAGAAUAAUAUAUAUUUUGAUGAAACUCGAUGUAGUGUAGCGGCACUUGAGUCAAGUCUCACUGGAAAUUCUCAAGUGCCCUUUCGAGAAAAAGUCCCACCCUCAGCAAGCACUUUUAUAUUUAACAAUUUAAUUUUAGACGAGUGCCCUCCCCUUCUAAAUCAAUAAACUUAACUUUCUCUGCCACGUGAGUCGUACUUUUUCUUCGUCGAAUUCGAAUUUAAUAUAAUCUCAUUCUUGAAUCGAACAACGAUAAAUAUAGCCGGAGAAUUUGUCAUCCCUAAAAGAUUUAAGAUUAGAAGAUUAAGAUUCCUAAGAUAGAUUGUAAGAAGCACAAAAUUUAGAUAUAAAUAAUUUUAUAACACAUAACAAUUUGGUUUAUGCUAAUUUUCUUAUAGCAAUAACUCAAAUUCAAAGGUUUUUUUUAAUGAAUAAUCUUGCUCAUGCGUAUUAUUUUUUUUUUAGUUUAAGCAACUAAACGUUUAUCUUUUCCAAUUAAUGUAAUUAAAUUUCAAAUGCCACGUGUCAUUAAAAAUAAAAAUGUAAUAAUAUAAUUACGGUGUGUAACAUAGCACUGUAGUACAAUUUUUUUUGACGCGUCACUCCAGAAAUGUAAUUUCUUUCAUUAAUUUUUCAGCGAAAAUUUUAUUCAACGUUGUUUUAAAAAAAAUUUUUAUUUUUAUAAAUACUUUGAUAAAUAAACUGUUAAAUUUUAGUAUAAUAGUUACAUUCUAAUUUUUAUAAUUUCUAUGACCCGGUUUAAAAUUACUUUUCAUGGCAAUAGAUGAAUACCGUAGUAAGUUUUAUGAUGACAGAAUAUUACUAUCUCGUUUGUAGGUCACUUCGAAAGACAAUGUAAUCUCACAAAUUCUGAACAUUCCUUAACUAGAUCGUUGAAGUAAAAAGUUUAUGAAAGAUUUAUUUUCAAGUUAUUGGAAAGAAAUCUUUUUAUAUUCAUAUAUAUCUAUAUAUAUACAUAUAUACAGUAAUUUUUCCCUCGCCUUCUCCUUCCCUUCUCGUUUGUACCUCAAAAAAUAAAUUUAAUGUAGAAUAAUAAUAUACUAACUUUAUAUACUGCCAAUUAAUAAAAAACUUAUUUUUAAUGACAGUGAGAAAGGGCUUGUCUAUUAUACAAUUUUUGUCAUUAUUUCCUUCAAAAUAUAUUACCUGUCUAAAGAAAAAUCUUACCUUAAUGUAUUUUAAAAAAUUACUACGUCAUAUUUUUAAGCUUUAUCCAUAUCAUAUUUUCUACAGUUUCUAAAAUAUUAAAUGCAAUAUUUUCUUGAAAUUCUCUAUUUUAUGACUGAAAUCCGGAUAAAUCCUCAAUUUAGACACAUACAGAAAUCUCCAAAACGAUCUCCGUGUAACAUUAUUUGCGAAGCAAUGCGGGACUGAGAACAAUUGCGAGAAAUUAGAGAGUUGUACACAUCGGAAGCGAGUAUUACGGCGCAAUUCGGAGUCAGAUUAAGAGUAAAGAGUUUGUGGGAAUUCUACACUUGCAAAUCAAGGUAUAAUAAAAAUUUAAAUAAUAUUUAUCUUAAAAAUAUAAAAAACAGCAAAAAUAGAUGCAUAUAACAAUUAUAUAAUAUACAUAAACAUCACGCACUAAUAAAAAAAUUUUUAAUAAACUUAAUACACAUAUAAACAUGCACAUGUUUAUAUAGUAGAUGUAAUAUAUAUUAUUGUAAUAAAAUUAUGAAAAACAUAUUUUAAACCA